AAAGGAAAGAUUCUACAUGUCAAGCUGGACCCGUGCGAUUCUGUCCCUUGUGCGGUCAAGAGAGGGCGGCCUGCGGUUCUCUCCGUUGCGACCAUCUGACACGUCAACAGUACGAAGUUGUCCUUGGAUGCUCGCUUCACAUUCUGGGGCAUGGAACACCGGGUGCCAAAUGUGGAACCAGACCUCUGCAAAAGCAUCAAGUGUCCCGUCGCUGCUGGACAAACCUAUGAAAUCUUUCAGGAUAUCGAAACAAGCAAAUGGAUGCCCGCCAUGACGACGGCAAUAACCAUCGAUGUAACCGGCGACAGCGGUCAGAUUGGAUGUCUUACUAUGGAUCUAAGGCUCGUGUAAUAAUUUCUGCGUGACCGUACAGCGAGAGACAUUGUACGAAUAAAAGUUUCUGUUGUGUAUACAUACAGUUGGCA